rnacentral:sRNA from 1 species
UUUUUUGUCAAAAAAGAAGAAGAAAAAAG